GAUCCUGGCUCAGGACGAACGCUGGCGGCGCGCCUAACACAUGCAAGUCGAACGGAGCUUAGAGAGCUUGCUUUUUAAGCUUAGUGGCGAACGGGUGAGUAACGCGUGAGUAACCUGCCCUAGAGUGGGGGACAACAGUUGGAAACGACUGCUAAUACCGCAUAAGCCCACGGUGCCGCAUGACACUGAGGGAAAAGGAUUUAUUCGCUUUAGGAUGUACUCGCGUCCAAUUAGCUAGUUGGUGAGGUAACCGG
rnacentral:rRNA from 1 species